CACUGUAAAGCUACUUAGCAUUAACCUUUUAAGUUAAAGACAGAGAGAAUCUCUCUACAGUGA
rnacentral:tRNA from 3 species